ensembl:lncRNA
ACAAAAUUCCAUUUCUGCUCUAGAUUCAAAGCCAAAUGAAAGAAAAAAUCUUGCAAAACGUUAGGCAGUCAUAGAAGGUGGUUGGAGCCUCAGUGAAGUUCACAGAAGAUGUUGGUGUCAGUUUACAGAAGGUAAGAGGAGUGGGAGGCCUGCUUGAAAAUAAAUGAAAAUCUUCAGAAGCUGAAAGCAGAUAGGUGGGAUGAAUGGGGAAGUAGGGGAACAAGAAAAGUGGAGCAAGCUGCCUCCAUUUUCUCUUGUGCUUUUUUUCAUGUGGAGGGAAAAGGAGAAGUAGGAAAAACUGAAGGUGCCUGUGCUAAGUUAGCCAGUUCUUGGGGCUGCUUGUGUGCCUUUCCAGCAACGCUCAUCAUUUAAUCCAGAGCUCUUUCUGAGGUGACUGACUUCCUAGGUUGAUUCUUCUCCUUCUGUGAAAUACCAUUUUUUGCCUUGUUGAAGAGGUGAAUACUAAUAACUUUGAAUGGGUUUUCAGGCACAAUGCUAGCCUAUCUAAAUCUUGACCAAAAUAUAAUCCUUUUAAAGGAGAUAGUUAUAGUUUUGUUAAUCUUCACAUCAAAGGUUGGGAUUUAUUUCCUGACUUGUCAGAAUGCAUCAUUCAAUGAAGGUAAUUACUGUUGUGUUAAGGACUAACGGUGAAGACAGAAGUCUUUGGCACCAGUUGUUGCACAAGCUCAACAGAGACAACUCCUCAAAACAGCUCCCUAUUAACGUAAUGUGUUGCCCAUCCUUUUGUUUGAGGGGAUUUUGAUCAGCUCUGGGAUUUUUGCUUUGUUUAGGAUCAACCUGUUCUAUCUCAGUGUUGUAGCCAUCUACUAAAUUUAGGUUUUUUCUAUGAGAUAUCAUGUAUAUUCUUUACAUUCCUGUGUUCUCAGUGCUGUCAUCAGCCACUGUGUGUAGAACAGAAUGAGACAAUUCUGAGAACUCUGGGGAAUCUAAAAUGUUUCUUCUAUUGAGCUGGCUUUAAAAGAGAGAAUGGAACUGUCACCAUUAGUACAAAGAGGUGGAAAAUAUUUCGGCUAAGGAAAAAAAUACUGUAAUUGUUUUAAAAUCUCAUUUUUUCAAACUAUUUCCACAAUGAGAAUUGAUUUCAAGCCAAUAUAUUUUGAUUAGUUUUUGUGAGACUACCAAGCUUACUAAACUUGGCCAAAAAUCCAUUGAUUGGCAUGUUCUACAGCCCUGAAACGUCUGACUGCAGGGAGUUGCUCUGCACUCUCUUCUCUUGGACAGCUUGGAGGUUUGAUUAUUUAAUCAAUAAGAGGAUGCUGAAAGGAAGAUGAGGAAAAAUAGCUUCUACUUUCCUCUGUUGUGUGCUUCCAGAUGUGCAGCAUGGCCUGAUGCAGCUGUAGAGUGGUCAGUAAGGGGAUUAUGUCUCUUCCUGCUUGUUGGCUACAGUUUUCCUCAUUAAGGAACAAAUACCACAGGAAACGUUCCUUGCCUGAGAUUCCCCUGUACAGGAAAAGAGACAUUGUACCCUCUGCUUGCUUUACUUGCUCUUCUAUAGCAGUAAUACCCAAUUCUUCCCAGUCUGAGAACAUGAGUGUUUUUUGUUGGUUUUAACAGUUUCUUAAGAGGAGCUUUUGUCACUUAUUGACGUUUGGUUUUGAGUGUAUCUAAUCUCAUUGAAAGUAUCACAACAACAAAUGAUGAAUACCAGUAUUGCAAUGAUCUUCCCCAGUCUGCUGUAGCAAUUGUUUGUAUCCUGCCUCCUGACCAGUAAGGGGCAGAUACUGAACUCAUUGUCUCUGCUAUCUCUGGUACCUGAGUUCAGACUGUAGGAUAUUGACUUAGAUGUAAUCUAAGUAGAGAAGAUUGAAGAGAAUAAUAACUACGUUUUCAUCUGUUGCUGAGUGUCUGAUGGCCUGUGAUAAAUCCAAAUUCACUUAACAGAUCUUUUUUUGAGCAGUUGAAACUGUUAAAUUAUACACCCUUCAAGUUAACCAUGCUCCAUUCUGAAAGGUCAGCAGACUUGGGAUUCAAGGUAUAAGAAAAAUGUUCUUUUCCUUUUCAGACAGGAAACUACAGGAAAGCCUGAUUAGGCAGUUUCUUAGUGGAAAAAGAAGAGAAAAGCACUUAAAACCAAAACACUUGAGUGCUGUCAGUGCUAUUUCAUUGUACAGGCAUUUUACUGAUUGUCUGACCAGAUUUUUCUCAUUCGAUGAGCUCAUUGAGUUUACCUGGCUUGAUCAAAUAGAAUUACUUAUUCUGAACCCAAAGAAAACUGUAGUAAGGCAGGAGCCAACACUGAAAAGGACACAGCAGCUUUAACAUCAGGUAACUUGACAUUGUCAAGUGUUGUAGGAGUACUUUAUUUGGAAUUUGCAGUUAUGAGAUUUCUUUGAAAAGAUAUUGAGAAGUACUACACCAGUUGUGAAUCCUAUUUUCCCAACAUGCUGCUGCAGUUGAAAUUUCCAAAUACUUGUCAGAAUGCAUUUAAAGGGAGACAGUUAUGUGCUAAAUGAAUUCCAAGAGUCAAAUAAGAAUAGAACUUUUUAGGCAUUGAUAAAACACUCAUGCUAAGUAUGAGAAGUCAAAAUGCAUAUUAGCAGGAAUGGAUCAAUAGAAGACAAAUGUGUACUGAAAAUCAUUAUAAGAAAAUAGGUGGGAAGUAUAAAAAAACCAAAAAGCUAAAACCUUCUUACUGUCAUAUCUGAAAGUUAUUCUUACGUAUAAUAAAUUACAUAAUUUGAAACUUGAACAAUCGGAAAUAAAGGGCUCCUUGAAAUUACUGGGGGAUGGGUGAGGAGUGGCCUGAUUUUAAGAGGCUUGGUAAAGAUUGAGGUUAUAUUUUUUCUUCAUAUUACAAGUUUUUGAACCCAUCUGAGUGUGAUCUGCUGAAAGAUGGCUUGAAGGUGCAAAAUCAGGUUCAGAAAGGUUGCUCUAAAUUAUGCCAAGAUACACCCUGGAUUCUGUAGUAUGAGCGGGGACCCAUGUAAAUGCAGCUUUGGUUCUCCAAACCUGUCUUUGGCAGCAUGCAAGAACUGAGAAGGGAGAAGCAGCUGCUGUUGAACCACACUUGCCAGUUCUAGGAACAUGAAACCAAGGCUCAAGACUGGGAGUUUACCAACAUUGUGUUCAUAUAAUACUGAUGUCCCCUCUCUAUAAUGAAUGUUUGGUCUCCCUCCCUAGUGAAAGUUACUGUUCAGCUGAUGCUAAGGAUUCAGACUGGAUGGAUAUUGUGAAUGAAAACAGCAAGCAAAAGGAAGGGAGGGUUUGCUCAGCUGCUGCCUUAGUUGUUCUUAACUUCUUGAUUUGCACUUUUCAGAAGUCAAUACUUACAUCCUACUAUCUUUAUGCCAGUGUAUUUUCUAUUUGAGAUGUUUAUUGAUCAAAGAAGUAAAAUCUUAAAAAGCUUUUAGGAGUAAAUGUAGUUCUCCCAUUGAUUUAUUCUUUCCAUGCACUGUCAGCGCCUUACUAAAGGGGCUAUAUUAAAUGGUGACAAGCGGAUGUGCUGCUUCUUGUAAUGCCCUGUAGUGGGAGUCCUGUGGUAAACAUUUCAAAGAGCAAGGAGCCAGUGCACCUCUCAUGGCCAGCCUGCUCUCAUGGGCAAUGCUCAUGGCCAUUGCUUUGUGACAUUACAUAGAGUAACCACAGAGCAAUCCUUCACCAUAAAAUGUGUCCAUAGACCUUAGAAAUGUUGAAGUUUAAAAUGACAUUAAAUGAUACUUUGCCUGUAAUAAUCCCAGCUGUCCCUUUAGUACGUGAAUGCUGCAGUGCUUUGGCACUGUGAGACUUUCAUGCGUUUUCAGGACUCAGGAAUUUCAGCUUGUAUAGAAAACACUGAUCUCCAAAGUGGGUUACAAUGGCAAAUUAGAAAAGGAAGGAAGUGUUGUGUUAAUAACAGGCCCAUCCCUAGCACUGCAUUCUGAACAGUUAAGAUGAAAUGCCCUCACUCUAAAACUACUGUUCCGUUAGUUUACUUCUCUUUCUGGGAGAUGUUGCUCUUUGAUCAUGUUGUAAUGCAUGCCUAGAAGUGGGUUACUACUACUUGUUUUUGCCUUCUGAAUUUCCUAGCUUUGGCAAUACUUGUUCGUGCCAGCCAGCAAACAACAGAUCAGUUUCUGUUUAGUCAUCACGCUCGGAUAGUUUCCAGCUACUCUCUCUGCAGGCUGAUGCAAUCACAAAUCUCUCCUCGUAUGGCAAAUACAGAGCAUUUCAUGUUGGUAUCUGUUCUGCUUGUUUUAUAUUUAAAUUUUCUUGUCCCACAGAACGAACAAAGUCAUUGUAAGCUUGCCAUCAGUUAUAACAACUGCAGUGUUCUCUUAUUCCGAGUCGUGUAUGUUUUGGGUUGUAUCAUAUUCUGGAAUUCUGUUCAUAUGAUAUGCCUAGAUUAAAAAAAAAAAAUCAGGUUCUCACACCAAUUCACAGCUGUGGUUAUGUACAGGCAAAACAUGACAUGCUACAAUUGCUUGAAUAAAGCUCCUCAUCUUGUGUACUGCCUUCAUGUUUUACAUUUCCAUGCCUUCACAUCCAACUGCAAAUAAAUGUUAGCAGGGAAAAGGAUUUCCUUCCUU